UGCAUCAUUGUUCGAAAUGUGAACAAGGAAUUGUUAGUCACAGGUCACUGUGAUAAACAUUUGUUUGCUUACAUUUUACACAUUAUUUACACAAUACGAUUAAUACUUUCACUCUUAACGCCGAAUAUAUCCGGCAUACACGAUAUGAUGCAUAGAGACGUACGCCGGCUAAAGCCGACAAUAUUCGCGACCUAGUUUUUGAAUAGCAGCGCAACCGUCGCGCAAAUUAUUUGUCAAAAGGAAUAAACCACACGAUUCGAAUCAUAUCGUUCUACUUCCAUUUUUUUUAUUACUAUUAGGUGUCAUAAAGGAAUAGACAAUUAACGAGAAUGGAACAAGAGACUUUUAAGAAAAAAAAUUUCAGAGAAUUCUUGUAUCGAAUUCAGAUUUUGCUCUUCUAAAAAUGGUUUCAAGAGAGUUGCGAGUGGUGAACACAUUCGAUAAAUUAGAAAUUGAUUCGUAUAACUGCAAUGGAAGCGAAUCGAGUACAAAAAUAGUACCUCGUGAAAAGAAGACGAAAAAAUGUGCUAAGUAUCUCAGAGUCUGAAGAAAUUGAGGCUAAUCACGUGCAUAGUACGGCCUUCAAAUAUUAUAUGGACAACGGCAAAAUUCAAACCUAAAAUUCAUCACUUUAAUGCAUGGAAUUCAGGAAUACAAGCAGACAUAUAUUACUCGUGGAAAAUUAUAGAUUAUUUUCAGUUAUUUGUUGGUGAAAAAUUAAUAAAAUAUAUAGCUGAAAAAUCAAACAACUAUGGGCGUCAGAAAAACGACAAUAAAGUAAUAGCUGGUACAUCGUUAAAUGAAUUAUUUUGCUUCAUCGCUAUCUCUUUUUUGAUGACUAAAAACAAAAGACUAUCAUUAGCAGAACAUUGGAGUAAAGAAAAACUAUUAAGAAGCGAUAUCUUUGGUAAAGUAAUUAGUAGAGACUAUUAUUUAUUACUUCUACAAAUGUUGUAUUUUAUUGACAAUCAUGUAUCCAAUUUUGAUUGUUUACAUAAAAUCUGCAAAAUAAUUGACGAACUGCAAGGAACUUUGUGAAAAUUCUUUUACCCUUACUGUAAUCUAUGUAUAGAUGAAAAUUUGCUUCUAUACAAAGGCAGACUGUCAUUCAAACAAUUUAUUCCAUCAAACAGGAAUAGAUUUGGGAUAAAAUCGUUUAUUUUUUUGUGAUUACAAGACGAGUCAUAUUCAAGACUUUAUUAUUUAUACUGGGGCUAGUACCAUUAUAGGGCCCAAACAUAAAGACCGUGAUAAAUUAAGAAGUAUUGUAAUGUCUCUCUUAGAAUCAUAUUUAGAUAAACAUCACACUAUUUAUGUCGACAAUUGAUACACAAGCCUUGCAUUAUUUGAUAUAUUGAAUAAAAAUUGUACAAAUGCGUGUGGCACUGUAAAAAAGAGGAAAAAAGAAAUGCCAAAAAUGAACGAAAAAUUAUAAAAAAAAGCAUGCUUUCGCUCAUUUUUGUAAAUAUGUUAGCUAUAAAAUGGUACGAUAAAAGAAAUUUUUAUGAUUUCAACAAUACAUACAGAAGAACUUGCGGAUAUAUGAAAACAUUACAGUGUACAAAAAAUUUACAGAAAUCAUCUUGUAUAUACGACUAUAAUAAAUCGAUGAAUGUUGUAGACAGAAUCGACAUGGUCAUCAGUACUAUAAAUUAGUAAAACAACAAAAUAGCACAAAAAAUAUUUUUUCCAUAUAAUUGAUAUAUGCUUAAGGAAUUCAUAUUGCCUAUACAAAUUGAAAAUCAACAAAACAAUAUCAAUUUCAACGGAAAUUAUUAACUCAACAGAAGACGUUUUCCUUCAUUUUAUGAAGUUACAGGAAAAAAUAGAUCACGAAAGUGUGUUUUGUGUGUGAAAAACGAUAAGAGACGAAAAUCUCGUUAUCAAUGUCAGAAAUGUGAUGUUGGAUAAACUAUCCACGUCCUCUUUCGGCAUGGGGUUCAGUUCAGUGAUAGCGCUACGGCGGACCGAACAGCUGUAGUGAAAGGGUUAAACGAAGAUACUACAAAUUCUAAGGCGGUCACUUCUUUGUCAUACAUGAAAAUGCUGGUUUUGUUAAAAUAAAGUUAUAAAUUCUUAUUAUAACAAAUACUCUUUCAUAAUUAUAUACUAAUUCUUCUACCAAAA